rnacentral:rRNA from 1 species
GGCGGCGUGCUUAACACAUGCAAGUCGAACGGUGAACCGGUUUCGGCCGGGGAUCCAGUGGCGAACGGGUGAGUAACACGUGGGCAAUCUGCCCUGCACUCUGGGAUAAGCCCGGGAAACUGGGUCUAAUACCGGAUACGACUUCCCACCGCAUGGUGGGGGGUGGAAAGUUCCGGCGGUGCAGGAUGAGCCCGCGGCCUAUCAGCUUGUUGGUGGGGUAAUGGCCUACCAAGGCGACGACGGGUAGCCGGCCUGAGAGGGCGACCGGCCACACUGGGACUGAGACACGGCCCAGACUCCUACGGGAGGCAGCAGUGGGGAAUAUUGCACAAUGGGCGAAAGCCUGACGCAGCGACGCCGCGUGAGGGAUGACGGCCUUCGGGUUGUAAACCUCUUUCAGCAGGGAAGAAGCGAAAGUGACGGUACCUGCAGAAGAAGCACCGGCUAACUACGUGCCAGCAGCCGCGGUAAUACGUAGGGUGCGAGCGUUGUCCGGAAUUAUUGGGCGUAAAGAGCUCGUAGGCGGCUUGUCACGUCGGAUGUGAAAACCCGGGGCUCAACCCCGGGCCUGCAUUCGAUACGGGCAGGCUAGAGUUCGGCAGGGGAGAUCGGAAUUCCUGGUGUAGCGGUGAAAUGCGCAGAUAUCAGGAGGAACACCGGUGGCGAAGGCGGGUCUCUGGGCCGAUACUGACGCUGAGGAGCGAAAGCGUGGGGAGCGAACAGGAUUAGAUACCCUGGUAGUCCACGCCGUAAACGUUGGGCACUAGGUGUGGGCGGCAUUCCACGUCGUCCGUGCCGUAGCUAACGCAUUAAGUGCCCCGCCUGGGGAGUACGGCCGC